AUCGUUAGUUUCUGGCCUAAUCUUCUUCACAAGAGAUUAUCUAACCUAACCUGAAAUCUAUCGUUUCCGAUUCCCCUUCCCCGGUGAAGAAACGCUCCUCCGUAUGGCAAUCAAUCAACACGACCCACUUAUCCCAUCCUCUCCUCCUGACUAAUGGCAACUUCUCAGCUCCAUUUGCCCGACUUGAAGGCAGGCUGUUUCUUAGAUUGGAUCUGAUUAUGUUUGAUUAUCAAUCAUGUGUUUGGGGAUUUGUUCGAUUCUGAAUUGACGAGUGUCUAAUAUCCUUGGAUUUGUUUCAUUGCUUCAGGUUCUAUCGGGUUUGGAUGUUUUCCUCUGAGAUAUGGAGCAACUUUUUGUCUGGCCAAGCUUUUACCAUUGUCGGCCUCACUCAUUCCAAGAAGCAAUCCACUAGUUUAACAGGUGAUGGAACAGAGAAAACAACAUCUUCAUCAAAGGUGGUUCAUGCCCAGAAAAUUGAACCACUCACCGUUUCUAGCUAAAUGAAUAUGUUAUCACUGUACACCCUCAGAUAAAAUUGAGUUUCUCUGCACAGCCAAAAAGACCUGUUCAGCCAGAUAACGUUUGGUGUUAUAUUGGAUGCUCCAAAUGUUCAAAGAAACUACUGCGCGAGAUAUCUUCACACAUGUAUGUUUUGUGAAAAGACCGAUGCUGACGGUUGUCCGAGGUACCGUGUGGAACUGUCGUUGUCAGACCACGCAAAUAUUGUAUCAGGUCAAGUAACAGCUAGGGACAGCGCUCCAGUUUUUAAAAAUAACGGCCAAAUCAACUGACUGGAGACAAAUCUUAAAAGGAUAGCCACAUCGCUAGGAAUAGCUAUCAAAAAGGCUGACACAAAAUACACAUAGAUUGCUUUGUUUUUGAAUUAAUCUCUAAAGAGAAAGAGGUUCAUCCUCCCACGUUUCUUAAAACAACAAGAACAAAUUCGUUUAGUACACAUCUUGGUUCAUAGAGUCAAAGCUUUGGUACAUGAAUUUCUUCAAACUGUUUCUCUU